UUAAUGGUGUCUUUAGACACCACCUUUUCUGUCUUUGAAAUCUAAU
rfam:Picea glauca, whole genome shotgun sequence.